rfam:Vibrio proteolyticus NBRC 13287 DNA, contig: VPR01S03.
UCAUCAUCACCAUCAUCCUGCUUAGUCUUUCGGGAGAUGCGCGCAUACCCGGGGGGCAGGAAACUCCCGGUGUUUAAAAUCAAAGAAUUCAGAUUUAAAACCCUCGGGAGACCAGAAUCUUCCGAGGGUUUUUUCGU